rnacentral:rRNA from 1 species
GAUGAACGCUGGCGGCGUGCCUAAUACAUGCAAGUCGAGCGAACAGAUGAGGAGCUUGCUCCUCUGACGUUAGAGGCGGACGGGUGAGUAACACGUGGAUAACCUACCUAUAAGACUGGGAUAACUUCGGGAAACCGGAGCUAAUACCGGAUAAUAUAUUGAACCGCAUGGUUCAAUAGUGAAAGACGGUUUUGCUGUCACUUAUAGAUGGAUCCGCGCCGCAUUAGCUAGUUGGUAAGGUAACGGCUUACCAAGGCAACGAUGCGUAGCCGACCUGAGAGGGUGAUCGGCCACACUGGAACUGAGACACGGUCCAGACUCCUACGGGAGGCAGCAGUAGGGAAUCUUCCGCAAUGGGCGAAAUCCUGACGGAGCAACGCCGCGUGAGUGAUGAAGGUCUUCGGAUCGUAAAACUCUGUUAUUAGGGAAGAACAAAUGUGUAAGUAACUAUGCACGUCUUGACGGUACCUAAUCAGAAAGCCACGGCUAACUACGUG